ACAGAGGAAGCUACUGAAACACAGGAAGUGCAAGAGCAAAGAGGAAACCCAGAGUUGUCAUUAAUUUGAGGACAGUUACAAAGACAUGAAACCAGCGUUGAGAUCAGAAAAGGAAAAGGGACAAAGACGUAUUAAUAGCAUGGAACAGGUUUUCCUCAUUCUGAUUCUUGCAGGAGGAUUCUGGAAAACUGAAGCUACAACUGUAGAAGGAGAGCUGGGUUGCGCUGGGUCUGCGCUUUGCAUUUGUAAUAUUAAAAUCUAAUGUGUGUAAAUCUUCUUGGAGGUAAUUGUACUUGUCGUUCUUUCCUGCGGAGAUCAACAUUUCCCUGUUCCUGACUGCAGCGAUGUGUGUGGCAGCCAUACUGUUGUGUGUCUGUUCACACUGUGUCUCCUGUGCGUUGUUAAACACCAGAGAUCCGGCCCACGCCAGAACAGAGAGGUCAGUUUGUGACGGAAACAUCUGCAACCAUGUUAGCAGUGAGAUCCAGACUGAACUACCUCUCAGGGACGGCUCUUCUCCUUCAGUCUCUGAUGUGUCUCCCAGUUAAGCACCAGUUGUAUGACAUCAUCAACACGCUGGAUUCCUCAGAGAAUUCCUCACUCUUUUCCCAGUUUGACUCAAUCAGACAUCACACAGACUUAGAGAAGAAGAGCUGUUCAUUUGGUGCAGUCCAGUGGAUUCAGUCGUUUGUGUUCAUAUCUGUCUACACUGUGCAUGUGAAAGUAUUUUUAAUGUUUUUUCCUUGUUAAAGACAACACAUUGCCUUGCAAGCAAACACACAAUCUCAUACAGAGAAUAGUUUGAUCUCUCAUACUGAUCACAGUUCACUGUCGGCAUGUUUCUGUUCCCUUCACAGAUAUCAGCGGGAAUCCGCAUGGAUAUUAAGUUUCUUGCCUUUCAUCUCUCUGGGCAAACUCUGGGGGUGUCCAAUAGUACCAAAUACUUAGGGCACAUUAUUCAUGCACGUUAGAGGAUGAUGCCGACAUGUUCAGACAGAGGAGAUUGCUCUAUGUCCAAGCUAACAUGUUGGUUAGAAAAUUCCACCACUGUACAGUUGAUGUAAAUAUUAAUUUGUUUAGAGCCUACUGCACCCCUCUCUAUACAGCUCCACUCUGGGUGAAUUGCAAGAAGGAGAGCUUGCGUAAGCUUAAAGUAGCCUAUAAUGACUGUCUUAGAUUACUCCUGCAUAAACCCAGGAGUACUAGAGCCAGUGAGCUAUUCUGUAAUAUGGGUCUAACCACCUUCAUGGCCUUGCUGAGGAACCUUAUUUUUAAGUUUAUGAGUCGGCUGGACCGCUCAACAAAUUCUAUAAUUGAUCUGAUGACAGACACUGUCCGCAGCUUUGUUAAGUACACAUCUAAGAUCUGGGAACACUGGCAUGAGGGCCUUUUUUAGCCCUUCUUUCCUUGUAUAUUUCUGUGUAAUGUAUUGAUUGUAUGUUUUGUCUUUUUAUACUCAGGGCCUUGAGCCUGUCAUAAAGUUUAAUAAUUUACAACUUAGGUCUUGUUUCUAAAUAUUUAGACAGCACCUCAAAUCGUCAAUUAUAACUUCCUACUUUCUGAGAUACCUUCGUGCUAAUAGAAUAUUAAUAAUAUUAUAUGUGGCCAAAACAAAAAUGUUUCAUAUGUUUUUUAUGAACCUUAACUGUUCGUAAACUAUAAUAAAUUCCAAAUUCAACAAUU